UACGUAGGGUGCGAGCGUUAAUCGGAAUUACUGGGCGUAAAGCGUGCGCAGGCGGUUUUGUAAGACAGAUGUGAAAUCCCCGGGCUUAACCUGGGAAUGGCAUUUGGGACUGCAAGGCUGGAGUGCGGCAGAGGAGACUGGAAUUCCUGGUGUAGCAGUGAAAUGCGUAGAUAUCAGGAGGAACACCGAUGGCGAAGGCAGGUCUCUGGGCUGACACUGACGCUCAUGCACGAAAGCGUGGGGAGCAAACAGG
rnacentral:rRNA from 1 species